GACGAACGCUGGCGGCGUGCCUAAUACAUGCAAGUUGAGCGCUGAAGGUUGGUACUUGUACCAACUGGGUGAGCAGCGAACGGGUGAGUAACGCGUGGGGAAUCUGCCUUUGAGCGGGGGACAACAUUUGGAAACGAAUGCUAAUACCGCAUAAAAACUUUAAACACAAGUUUUAAGUUUGAAAGAUGCAAUUGCAUCACUCAAAGAUGAUCCCGCGUUGUAUUAGCUAGUUGGUGAGGUAAAGGCUCACCAAGGCGAUGAUACAUAGCCGACCUGAGAGGGUGAUCGGCCACAUUGGGACUGAGACACGGCCCAAACUCCUACGGGAGGCAGCAGUAGGGAAUCUUCGGCAAUAGACGAAAGUCUGACCGAGCAACGCCGCGUGAGUGAAGAAGGUUUUCGGAUCGUAAAACUCUGUUGGUAGAGAAGAACGUUGGUGAGAGUGGAAAGCUCAUCAAGUGACGGUAACUACCCAGAAAGGGACGGCUAACUACGUG
rnacentral:rRNA from 1 species